AAUGUACUCCCUCCGUCCCAAAAUUCUUGUCUUAGAUUUGUCUAAAUACGGAUGUAUCAAGUCAUGUUUUAGUAUUAGAUACAUCCAUAUCUAGACAAAUCUAAGACAAGAAUUUUGGGACGGAGGGAGUAGCAA
rnacentral:pre_miRNA from 1 species